GAUGAGCGCUGGCGGCGUGCCUAAUACAUGCAAGUCGAGCGAACGGACGAGAAGCUUGCUUCUCUGAUGUUAGCGGCGGACGGGUGAGUAACACGUGGAUAACCUACCUAUAAUACUGGGAUAACUUCGGGAAACCGGAGCUAAUACCGGAUAAUAUUUUGAACCGCAUGGUUCAAAAGUGAAAGACGGUCUUGCUGUCACUUAUAGAUGGAUCCGCGCUGCAUUAGCUAGUUGGUAAGGUAAAGGCUUACCAAGGCAACGAUGCAUAGCCGACCUGUGAGAGUGAUCGCCCACACUGGAACGGGACCACGGUCCAGACUCCUACGGGAGGGAGCAGUAGGGAAUCUUCCGCAAUGGGCGAAAGCCUGACGGAGCAACGCCGCGUGAGUGAUGAAGGUCUUCGGAUCGUAAAACUCUGUUAUUAGGGAAGAACAUAUGUGUAAGUAACUGUGCACAUCUUGACGGUACCUAGUCAGAAAGCCACGGCUAACUACGUG
rnacentral:rRNA from 1 species